rnacentral:rRNA from 1 species
UACGGAGGGUGCGAGCGUUGUUCGGAAUCACUGGGCGUAAAGGGCGCGUAGGCGGCGCGGAUAGUCGGCGGUGAAAGCCCGGAGCUCAACUCCGGGUCGGCCGUCGAUACUUCCGGGCUUGAGCACUGUAGAGGCAGAUGGAAUUCCGGGUGUAGCGGUGGAAUGCGUAGAGAUCCGGAAGAACACCAGUGGCGAAGGCGGCCCGCUGGGCAGUGGCUGACGCUGAGGCGCGACAGCGUGGGGAGCAAACAGG